rnacentral:rRNA from 1 species
CAUGCAAGUCGAACGCUUCUUUUUCCACCGGAGCUUGCUCCACCGGAAAAAGAGGAGUGGCGAACGGGUGAGUAACACGUGGGUAACCUGCCCAUCAGAAGGGGAUAACACUUGGAAACAGGUGCUAAUACCGUAUAACAAUCGAAACCGCAUGGUUUCGAUUUGAAAGGCGCUUUCGGGUGUCGCUGAUGGAUGGACCCGCGGUGCAUUAGCUAGUUGGUGAGGUAACGGCUCACCAAGGCGACGAUGCAUAGCCGACCUGAGAGGGUGAUCGGCCACAUUGGGACUGAGACACGGCCCAAACUCCUACGGGAGGCAGCAGUAGGGAAUCUUCGGCAAUGGACGAAAGUCUGACCGAGCAACGCCGCGUGAGUGAAGAAGGUUUUCGGAUCGUAAAACUCUGUUGUUAGAGAAGAACAAGGAUGAGAGUAACUGUUCAUCCCUUGACGGUAUCUAACCAGAAAGCCACGGCUAACUACGUGCCAGCAGCCGCGGUAAUACGUAGGUGGCAAGCGUUGUCCGGAUUUAUUGGGCGUAAAGCGAGCGCAGGCGGUUUCUUAAGUCUGAUGUGAAAGCCCCCGGCUCAACCGGGGAGGGUCAUUGGAAACUGGGAGACUUGAGUGCAGAAGAGGAGAGUGGAAUUCCAUGUGUAGCGGUGAAAUGCGUAGAUAUAUGGAGGAACACCAGUGGCGAAGGCGGCUCUCUGGUCUGUAACUGACGCUGAGGCUCUAAAGCGUGGGGGAGCAAACAGGAUUAGAUACCCUGGUAGUCCACGCCGUAACGAUGAGUGCUAAGUGUUGGAGGGUUUCCCCCCCUUCAGUGCUGCAGCUAACGCAUUAAGCACUCCGCCUGGGGAGU